GGAGCGAUUUCCCAGGGGGGCAGAGGCAGCCCGGGCUCUCAAUUCCUCCUGCAGCAGAUGGGGAAAGGCUGCGCAUUAGGGAGGGCAGGAGGUGGUGGGGAGUGAUGGAGGGGCCUGCUGGGCCCCGUGGCCUCCUGCUUCCUGCCUCUCCUGUUGCUGGUAGAUGUGGGGCCAGGAUGCUGUGGUAGCUGAAGGCUUCGAUCUAGAGUGGGGGCUGCAACUUGUGCCUGCAAGCAGCCUGGGGUGAAGAACAAACAGGAAUUGUGUCUAUUCCCCAAACCAUUUAAUCAUCCUAAAGCAAAAUGCAAUUUAAACAGGGGGCUUUCUGGCCAUCAUAUUCAUGAGCAAAGAUCAAAAAGUAUCUGAAGAAAGAGUUUAUCUGUUUAUUUAUUUAUUUACCAACAUGGGUAUCCUCAGCUCAGUGCUGAAGAGCUGGCAGCAUCACUGAUCUGAAUGCUGAACUUGGGAAGGCAGCUGGUCCCCCGACAUUUCCUCAUGGGAGGUGACACCAAUUCCUGCGGCAAGCAAGUAGACAUUUUGGAGGAAAAACUGCAGGAAGAGCCCAGAUAAUGCAUACAGCUUAACAGUUGCCUAAAAAAUAAGGACUGGAACCACAAGUGAUGGGACAUGUACCGCUCUCCCCAACUGGACGAGCAUGUGAAGAUUUUCAUCUUGUUGAAUCAUUGCUUUGGUUCGUCAGGCUCAUUUUGAAUUCUCUUCUUGUCUUCAGAGUGUUUGAAAAUCUUCCCAGGGUGAUUCACCUGCAUGUUUUAACACUGCAUGCUCUAAUCUACUUAGCAAACUAUUAACACAGCUGUUGAACAGUCCUGUGCUGAGAGGAGAUCCCUGAUUCCGCAAAGGAAUUGUCCCUGUGUUUGUCAAGGAGCUAUUUUGAAUGCAAACACCGAAAGAGGUAUGCUUCCAGCUUACAAUUAAUUUUAUCCUGCCAUUUUCCUGUUUGCUUAAGAAAAUACCGUGUGUGGCAUAGCACUGAAAUCUGUACUACGGUCACGUUUAACACAUCUCUAUUUUCCCCCUUGCCCAGUAGCUUAGUUAUUCCAGGAAGAAGUAUUGCAUUAAUUUGAAACAGCUUGUUGAUUGCCUGCCUUGUUGUCAUGAGCAGCUUAGCAGUUUAAUGAAUGGAAGUACUUAUACAUAGAUUAUUUAAUCUUCUGUUCCAUUGCCUCUCUGACCUUUGAAGGUAAGCUUGCCAAUCGAAAAAUCACUGCACCUCUGUGGAGUGUGGUAUUCGGGAUGGUGCUACAGAUGUCUCAGCAAUGGUUCAUUAGCUACUUCAGUGAGUUUCUUAAGGAUUACAGGUGCUGGCUACUUGAGUAUCAUGUGAAUUUCCUCCAUCCUACUAUUCCCAUAUUAUGACCUAUGUUCUUCAAAUCCCUUUUAAAAUGAAUACUGGGUCUCAAUUAAGCAAGAGGUGUGGAUGAUGUGACAUGCUCAGUCUUUGCAAUCUGCUGUCUGCUGAAAACAAAAACUUUUGCUAAUGUUAGUCACUGAGUCUGUGUAAACAACAACAAAAAAAAAGAUGGUUUGUCAAAACAAAGAUGUGUUGUGAUUUGAGCUUGGAAAUUUAAUGGGAGACUGUGGUCAUGAGUGCAGUGGUUGCAUUUAGGGGUACAUCAAACGUUGGCUUAUGGGCUCAGGUGGCUUUCAGGAAAGGUCUGUGGGCUAGCCAAGGAAGGACACA